CCCUGAAUGGAGGGCGUUGGAGGCUGGAUAAACCCAGAGGUGGGGGGGAAGCUGGAUGUAUAGGAAGAAGCCCAGGGAAACAACUACAGCAACAGGUAGAACUGUGGUUGCUUGUUAUAGGGUGUCUGGGUUAGAACCCAGUGUAGAAGACAGGCCUGAGUUCCCCUACCAGCCACUGGGGAGUGGCCAGGGUGAUGGAGGUGCUAUCCAGACAGCAGGUCUGGGCUUUGAACUCUCCAGAAGGGGAGGACUUUAGUGACUUGGCUGGAUAGCUAUACCAUAGAGAGGAAGCUGCAGACCCAGGAGCGAGCAGAGCAAGCCAAGUCCGGAAGGAGAACACAAGCUGGCAGAACUAGUCCCUGGGAUGGCCAGCAGGAGGGAUUGCUCACAUGGAGUAUUGGAGUCGAGAGCAAGCGGCAGUCGAUUUAGCUAAAUCGACCCUCAGUGGAUUGAUCGCUGCGUGUUGAUACCCCGGAAUAUUGACAGAGAAAAUAGCAUCAAUUAAAUAGAAGGAAGAUGAAAGGCUUUAGUAUUCAGAUGUUCCCAAACUCUCCUGAUCCCUGGACCAAUGUGUACUAAAUUGACCCAUGAAAAAUCCUUAGGAAUAGCCAUUUUUAAAAGACAGAAAAGAUCCAAUGACCGCUAUCAAAAAGUUAGGGAUAUGUCCUGGUUCCCUUUGCCAAGCUCCUCCUGUCGUCUUCCCCAAAAAUUCUACCACAGAGGAUUACAACCAUCUGACUGACAUAGUAAUGACUGUGUUUUAGCUCGGCUUUUUUUUAAGCUUUUUUCUGUUUGUGAAUUGUCCAAAACAGACUUCGAUUGUUAUGAAUUUUAAAAAUUACUCAGAUUUUGGGAACAUAUUUUAAUCCCAUUAAUUGUUCAUGCAGUAUUCAUUUUGGCCCUACCUUCAGGUAUUUAGUUAUUUGUUCAAGAUAGAGGAUUAUUGCUCAGGUCACAUGGUAUAAUCUUUGGUCCUGAUUGGAUAACUGAAACGUUUAUAAAUAGUCAGAGGGAAAUUGGAGACUUCAAGAUGUCUACAAGCACUUUGGUGGAAAGCUUAACUUGAAUGCAUUUGUGAAACGUUUUUGUUUUCCUCAAAGAUUCCUGUGAACAAAAGCAAAUCACUCAUAAAUGUGAUUAUCAGGGCCAUAAAUACCAUCGCAGAAGACUGCAGUUAUUACUUGAACAAAUAUUUAAAUGUUUUUGUAGAUUUUUGCCACAAUCUAUUAUUUCAUUAACUCUCUAACCCUCUACAUUAAGUAUUAUGUGUUUAAAGAAUCUGUUUUAUAAA